rnacentral:lncRNA from 14 species
ACUCUGGCUCUCUUCUAUCUCUCUGCUUUCGAGCUGUCACACGGUCCAUCCAUCACAAGUGCAGAAGCAAUGGGCCACCCUGCCUCCACACCGUAAGCAAGCCUCUCCUCUUUGAGCGUCUCAGACCUCCCUCCACAGCGAGCCAAUCCAGACUUGGCCACUCCGGCCCAGAUGGAAAUGCCUAGAACUGAGAGUUCACAUCUGAACCAUACAUACGAAGCAGCAAGAGUGUGCUGGAAAUCAUGUGUGGCUUUUGAAACCUCAAAGUCUACCGUCAGUAACAUACUUCCUCUACAAAGACCACAUCUCCUAAACCUUCUCAAACAGUGUAAUCAACUUGGGAGCACAAACUCAGAUGCUCAGGAAUACAGACAGCGUCUCAUUCAAACCUCCACAAACAUCCACUCAAUGUUAACAUAUAAUACUGUACUUCAGGAACAACGUAAACAUUCCUCAGUGGAAGAGUGGCUCGUGAUUAUAAGACUCCUAGACGUGGAAUGUUGGGCAAGCAAUGAACAAGAUCCAGAGAUCAUGAAAUUGCUACUAAUACCCUGAGGUGAGGAAACGCUGCAGAAAACAUCACUACCUUCACAGAGGCCUCUUUACCCUGACCUUUUGACUGGUGGAGAUGCGAAUGUGCUCCAACACUCACAGGGACAGCAGCCUGUCUAUCUCUUGGAGAGGGGUCUCUCCUUCCUCUGCCUUGCAAACCCCACUAAGGAACGAAGAGUCUAGAGCUCUAGUUUCCAGGCGUCUGGCCCUUAAGGUAACAAGGAAGGAUGCCAUUGGAAAUGAAUGCUGAUGGACAAGAAACUGAAGAGCAGAACAGGCAAAAAAAAGGGGGGGCAGGAGAGGAGCAGGAGCAGAGAGUGAAAAGAAGGCGCAAAGGCAGAUUUCAUUUGAGGGCAGAAUCAAGUAAAACAGUUUUGGAAUAGGGACUGCUGAAGCUUCGGAAGGUAAGAGAACAUGGGAGCAAGUAGAUGAUGCGUCAGGCUAACGGCACGGAAGACGUUCAGCUGUGGGGACAAAAGGAAGCACUAGCAUCUUACUCAUAACAUUGACAGGGACCUCAGCAUUAUCUGGACCAAAAUAAGACAACUCUUAUCGUGACGUCUGCCAUUAAAACCACGGAGCUUCGUGAUUCCUCCCACGUGCCCUUUACUGAAUACCACAAAUGAUUCAGGUUGAAUGAAUAGAUUUUUAAAAAUCUUUUUAGAACUACAGCACUCUGUAUAAAUAUUACUAACUGUCAGUCCUUUUUAUCUUGGUGCAGACUUCUGAGUACUGACUCUGAGGAGCUAAAGAAGCCAAAAACAAGAAGGAUGCCCUUGAUUUCUUCCUCUUACAGUUGCCCCAUGGCCCACUCUGGCUUAGGUUGGGAAAAGCUGGGCUUCCCUGCAGGUGGAUAGGUGUCUAUGGCUGGACACCGAGGGGCCAGCAGAGCAUUAGAGAUGAGUGUUGUCCAAAUGGGUGAAGCUUCAGGCCAGUAUUCCCAGGGCAACCUGAGAAGACAAAUGGAGGUAUAAGAAAUCACCAGAAUGAGAUGAGGGAAGACGCACAGUAUGGAGGGUAGGAGGAAGCCUACAGCUUUCCCAAGGAAAGCAAGAGAAGAAGCUCUGAGAGCCAAAUGGGGGAGAACACAGAGCACUUCCUGACAUUAACCAUGGAGACAGAGGCUUAAAGAGCAUGGCUUCUCCAUGAGCUUCUCGGGUAUUUCUCUACCUCUGGUCUUCUCAUCUCUGCUCAAGGCCAUGAAUGCUGAUCAAGAUGGGACCACCACAUCUUGGUUGCCUUCUUCUCCUGGCUGGGGAAAGCAGGCCCAGGGCUGCUGCUGAAGCCUCAGUGUCUGCCACUCCAGAGAACAGCUCACUCAACUAUCGGGGUGCAUUCUCUUUCGUUCUGACUGUUGCUACUGCUUAUGGGGUCCAAAUUGUCUCCUUUUCUACAGGAGUGUGAUGACAAGAACAGCUCAGGUGUGAACUUUGAGGAAGGAAAGCAAAAGCACAGCUUCCAGACCACAGGACCUGGCAGGACACUGCCUGUGGAGUUAGCCUCUGCGGCCACAACUGAAGUCAGACUACUCUCUUGGUUUGCUUGGUCACUUCAAGCUCUGCCUUGGAUGUUACCACGCCCCCCUGCACCCGACACACACAAAGGUCAAUGUUUGGAGCUUUGUCCCUAUGGAUAUGGUGUUGGGAAAUCAUAGAAUCUUAAGAGGCAAGGACUAAGAGAGAUUCUAGAUCAUGAAGUUGGGAUGCCCUUGAAAUAGACCUUGACCAGUUCAAGAUGGUUGUUAGAAAAAGCUUGAGACUGACCCUUGAGUUGCAACCUGGCUUUCUGGUUCAAAGUGUGGUCCCUUUGUCUCAGUUACACUUCUACUAGUGUCUCCAGUCAUUAGGGGAUGCAGCUAAAAUGGAAGGCAAGAUAGGGGUAGGGGACCUCACCAGAGCCUAUACACUAGGCCACUUGGAUUCCCAGCCUUUAUGCUUAUGAGCUAAAUUAUCCUCUUUUCUUUAUAAAGUCCCCCUGUUUCAGUCUUCUUGUUGUUGCUACCUGUUGUGGUUUAAGUCUGAAACGUGCCCCCAUCUUAUGCCUGAAUAUGUUUGACUGCCUGUCCCCCAACUGGUGGUACAACGCUAGGCUGUCGUGGACACUCCGAAGUGUGUGGCUUGCUGAUAGAGAUGGUUUACUAGAGGGAUGCCUUUGAAGCUCACAACUACUUCUGGGUCUGCCUUGCUAUCUCUUGUUAUCUGCCUUGCUUCACGGUGUGAGGGGCACCAGCUCUCCACCACUCCAGCCCCCCUCCUCACUUCCAUGGACUCUGUCUAGGUUUCCCUGCUGUAAUAGAUUGAAACCAUGGGCUAAAAUAAAAAUGUCUUCUAAGAUCUACA